GCCCGGCUAGCUCAAUCGGUAGAGCGUGAGACUCUUAAUCGAAGAGAUCAUCUCAAGGUUGCGGGUUCGACCCCCGCGUUGGGCU